UCUGGUUGAGCCGCGUUGUUCACCGUGAUGGCUGUAAAGCUGCCCCUCGAACUCUGGUGAUGCCCAAACCUCUAUCUUGGGCUUGGAGUUCCUGCCCCAUGGAGCUCACGCGCAGUCGUCAGCGAGAUCCAUCCUCACACGGUGGAGCAGAAUUGCAUUGAUUGUUAGGGGAUGGUGUCAUUUGAGGACGUGGCUAUGAAAUUCACCUGGGAGGAGUGGCAGGGCCUGGAUGAUGCUCAGAGGAUCCUAUAGCAGGAUGUGAUGCUGGAGACCUACCGUAAUCUGGUCAAUAGAUGUUUGGCCUGUGGGUGACCAGAUUAAGACCAGCCGGCAAAAUCAGGGGAGACAUCUGUGGCAAGUUCCAACCUCCAACAGCAAGACUUCCUCUGAGAUACAUUACUUAGGGAACGGGUAUGAGUGUCAGAGUACCUGUGAUACGUCAGCUCUCAUUGUCCAAAAUGGAACUCAAGUAGGGCAGAGCCCCUACACAUGCGAUGAGGAGGAGAAACCCAUCUAUGAGAAACCAACACAUUUGAAUCUUCAUACAUAUUUGGGAGAUGAACAGUACCAAUGUAAUCAAACAGAGUUAUUUCAGCAAUAAGUCACUCCUGGCUCAGCUCCCGAGAACUCAGUUUGGAGAGAAUAAUUUUGAAUAUCUUGCAUGCAGUAAUAUAUUCUGUACGAUCUCUGUUCUUCCUAAACAUCAGAAAACACAAACAGGUGAUCCACCUGUGUGUUGCUGCGGUGAUUCUGAGCGCCUGUUGCUGUAGCAGCAGGCUGGGGGGUUUCUAGUGCCCUCUUAAUGUGCUGGGUGAUGCUCAUCAUUUCCAUGCGAGCAGUUCACGCCAGUAUAGUGCAGAUUAGAAAAGGUGGCCUCUCAGGGUCCUUGUAUACUUCUAUGAUGGUGCAGUACUGUACACCUCAGUAGUGUCCCGGGACCCGUAUGAAGUGCCGCUAACAAUAUUGGCGGUGCUUAGCACCCUGAAAAAUCAUAUUACAAGGAAAGCUUCAAUUGUUGGAGAGCUACCAUAUUUGAGGUCUUCAGGUGUUUGCCCACUUUCCAGCAAAAGUACCAGUGUAAAAAAAAAUACUGAAAAUAAACU